CCGGAAUCUCCUCGUGUCAUGGCUUACUUCCUCUUUAUCAAUCAGCCUCAAGGCAUACUUCACUUCAGGAUCCUUCAGAGUGAUUGCAGGACGGGGACUCCCAAAAAGCCUCCGGAUGGUGCUGUAGAUGAGCCAUAAUGGGUAUGUCACAACCCAACCCAGCGUGCUGAGCUGUGCCCCCAUCGCUGCCCUCCAGACCGAGCGGUG
rnacentral:lncRNA from 1 species